rnacentral:lncRNA from 1 species
CGGACUAGUAAUGACAUGAGGUCAAGUCCGCGCGGAGACAAAAAUUUGAGGUAUACAAUUUUGGAAUUAUGAAGCGGUGAAGGAGAAUAUAUGUGUAUGUGUGUGUGUGUUGGUGGGGGGGGGGGGGGGGGGGGGGGGGGGGGGGUGGGGGGGUGGUGUGGUGUGGUGAUGGAUGCCCUUUGCGCGCGCCCCUCUCUUUGGCCGGAUUAAUUUACCCAUAAUUAAUGCCGUAAAUGCAAGAGGAGGUAGAUUGAUUAAAAGGUGGGAAUUUGCCUUCGGUGCCCAUAACGGUUAUUAAAUCCUUGGGAAAACUAUCAUCCUUGUUUCCCUUCACAAUAUUUUAAAUUUUGAUUUCUUUCAAAGUUUUUCUUUCUGAAUAAUUAUACCCGGUACUCGUAAAUCUGGGUCGUAUCUCGUAUAUUGGUUUUGUGAUCGGCGAAAUGUUUCCGACCCUAUAAAGUAUAAACUCUUGUUUGACGGCUCGUUCUUAGCGACUAUAAGAGCUGUAGUCCAAAAAGUUUGUGUAAAGGUUCAUUUGAUAUCACACUAAAUAAAAUCCGCCCCCACAAGGAAUGACGUUCCUCCUCAUUAAAUCCCAUUGAAGAGUACAUAGGGUAUAUUGUAUAUGUGGGGAAAAAAUUUAACACACAGAAGGAAGCGUUUCCGACCCCACAAAGUAUAUAUAUUCUUGAUCAUCAAUAGCCGUGUCGAUUAGCCAAGUCUGUCUGUCCGUCCUUCCGUCCGUCCGUCUGUCCGUCCGUCCGUCUUGUUGAGCGCCUGGAUCUCAGAGACCAUAGAAGCUAG